AAGUCCCGCAACGAGCGCAACCCUUAUCCUUUGUUGCCAGCGGUCCGGCCGGGAACUCAAAGGAGACUGCCAGUGAUAAACUGGAGGAAGGUGGGGAUGACGUCAAGUCAUCAUGGCCCUUACGACCAGGGCUACACACGUGCUACAAUGGCGCAUACAAAGAGAAGCGACCUCGCGAGAGCAAGCGGACCUCAUAAAGUGCGUCGUAGUCCGGAUUGGAGUCUGCAACUCGACUCCAUGAAGUCGGAAUCGCUAGUAAUCGUGGAUCAGAAUGCCACGGUGAAUACGUUCCCGGGCCUUGUACACACCGCCCGUCACACCAUGGGAGUGGGUUGCAAAAGAAGUAGGUAGCUUAACCUUCGGGAGGGCGCUUACCACUUUGUGAUUCAUGACUGGGGUGAAGUCGUAACAAGGUAACCGUAGGGGAACCUGCGGUUGGAUCACCUCCUUACCUUAAAGAA
rnacentral:rRNA from 1 species